AUCUGAGACGCAGGACCUUUUGAGGGCUUCGGCCCAAAGAAGAGUAAUUCCGGUCUGUGCCAGGAAAAACCUCUAAGGGAGUUUUAUUUGUGCCCGUACCGUAAACCGACACAGGUAGACGAGGCGAAUAGCCUAAGGUGCUCGAGACAACUCGGGAGAAGGAACUCGGCAAAUUAACCCCGUAACUUCGGGAUAAGGGGAGCCUCCAUUUGUUAGUGUGAACAGCACAAAGCAUAAGGAGGCCGCAGAGAAAUGGCAGAAGCGACUGUUUACCAAAAACACAGGGCUAUGCAAACCCGUAAGGGAAAGUAUAUAGUCUGACACGUGCCCGGUGCUGGAAGGUUAACAGGAGAUGUCAGCGCAAGCGAAGCAUUGAAUCGAAGCCCCAGUAAACGGCGGCCGUAACCAUAACGGUCCUAAGGUAGCGAAAUUCCUUGUCGGGUAAGUUCCGACCUGCACGAAUCGUGUAACGACUUCUGCACUGUCUCCUCCCGGGACUCGGCGAAAUUGCAGUGUCGGUGAAGAUGCCGACAACCCGCACCUGGACGGAAAGACCCCAUGAACCUUCACUGUAUUUUGACAUUGGUUUUAGGCUUGACAUGUGUAGGAUAGGUGGGAGGCUUUGAAGCGGUGACGCCAGUCAUCGUGGAGCCAUCCUUGAAAUACCACCCUUGUCCGGUUUGAGAUCUAACCGUGGCCCGUCAUCCGGGUCCGGGACCGUGUCUGAUGGUCAGUUUGACUGGGGCGGUCGCCUCCUAAAUGGUAACGGAGGCAUCCAAUGGUUCCCUCAGCGCGGUCGGUAAUCGCGCGUAGAGCAUAAAGGCAUAAGGGAGCUUGACUGCGAGACAGACAUGUCGAGCAGGUACGAAAGUAGGGCUUAGUGAUCCCGCGGUACAGCGUGGAACGGCCGUUGCUCAAUGGAUAAAAGGUACUCUGGGGAUAACAGGCUGAUCUCCCCCAAGCGUUCAUAGCGACGGGGAGGUUUGGCACCUCGAUGUCGGCUCGUCGCAUCCUGGGGCUGGAGAAGGUCCCAAGGGUUUGGCUGUUCGCCAAUUAAAGCGGCACGCGAGCUGGGUUCAGAACGUCGUGAGACAGUUCGGUCCCUAUCCGGUGUGGGCGCACGAAAUUUGAGGGAACCUGUCCUUAGUACGAGAGGACCGGGACGGACGCACCUCUGGUGUACCGGCUGUCACGCCAGUGGCAUUGCCGGGUAGCUAUGUGCGGAUUGGAGAAACGCUGAAAGCAUCUAAGCGUGAAGCCAUUCCCAAGAUUAGAUUUCGCGGGGGCAACCCCCUAAAGGAUCGUUAGAGACCAUAACGUUGAUAGGUCACAGGUGUAAGCAUAGCGAUAUGUUGAGCCGAGUGAUACUAAU
rnacentral:rRNA from 1 species